rnacentral:misc_RNA from 1 species
AUAACUAAAAUUGAAUAAUUAUUUUAAAAAAUAAUCAUAUUAUUAUAAAAUAAAUUAAUAAUACAUAUUAAAAAAUUUUAAAAAUAAAGGAAGUUCUUAAAUAUGUUUUUACAAUGAUUUAUUAUUAUUUUUUUCAUUAUAAAGGAUAUGAAUUAUUGUUUUUAUUUUUUUCAAUUAGUAUAUCGUGUUCUAUUAUUUGCAGGUGAACACAUUUUCUAUGUUUUUCCUUGUUUUCCAUAGAAAAUGAAAACUGUAGUUUUCUUAGAAAUGGAAAACGGAAAACAGAAAAUUGUUUUCCAUGAGUAAACAGACCCUAAGUUCUUCUACAUUUGAAAUUUUCUUGUUAUUUGACUAAUUGGAAAUUUAUGUUAUCAGGAACUGAUAUAGAUCUUUUCUGGGCCAAAUUGAAUGCAGAUGAGCAG